GGCCCGGUAGCGGAUGGUCCGCGCCUGCUUUCAAUACAAGGCUGGAAUGCGCGCAUGCAGGACCUGCUCGUUCGAAUCGAGCCCGGGCCA